AAUGUGGUAGAGCCGGGAAUCGAACCUGGACCUCUGGAUCUGUAGCCAGGAACGCUGACCACUAGACAACAGAGGCGAUGAAGUUAAAACCAUGCUUGUCUACCAAAAACAGAUCAUUAUGCAAAAAGUUGAUAUGUAACAGUUAAGAUCUCAUUUAAGGUCUACAACCUUAUGUGAAUUUUUUUUAAUAUGACUUUGAUGGAAUACAGGUACUCCUUGUUAUAUGCGAUUUUGAAAAAAUAUGGUGUCAUUUAAUGAACUUAACUAAUUUACACCAAUUUCAGUAAAUGACCUUCACUUUUGUGGAUUUCUUGCUGUCCUAGAGAGGCGAGGAGAAGGGAGAGUGGAGUAUUGUGUUUGUAGUGGAGGAGGAAUGCCGGAAUGGAAAAUUGGGCUAGCCACACAACCUCUUGUGCACAUUGCUACAGUCUCUCAUUGAGGAGAGAUGAAGCCUUCAGCACAAUAUUUUCUAAUGUUUGAUUUAUGUGAUUCACUCUCCAUUACUUUUUUACCGCAUCUGUUGCAUAAAUUGAGGAAUACCUGUGUAAGGGAAAGUACUUUGAUUUUGUGUAUUGUGAACAGCUUUCCAGCAAUAUGAUUAUAUCUACAGUAAAUGAACUUGAGGCCAAUGGAAAGUUGCAAAUGACAGAUCUUUCACUGUCAUUACAUGUACUUGGAUAGCUAUUACAGGAAUUAAAACAUAUGUAAUUCUCUCUAUAAAUGACAGUUUAUUUUUUUAGUUACAUAUUAAAAAAUCUUGCUUCUUUCAUCUCAAAAUGGAAAUAAAAAUAUGCAGCUGAAAUAUUGUUGUGAAUUAAUUGUGUAAUGAAGUAUACCAUUACUAAGUGUACAAAAGUCAAUUGACCCACAGGGUUUGAGGUUUUGGGGUACAGGAAAUAUGUUACUGUUACUGUUUCUGGGAGAUUGUACAUGUGAUGGUAGAGCAAGAUGUUUGGAUUGUUUUGUAUGGUGGCCCUAGGUCUGCAAGUGUCACAGUAAACCAUCCAGUAAGCCGAAGCUGCUGGGUUAAUGGAGCACUAGACACCUAAAAUUUUGUGCUUCAUCAUCUGAUUUUUAUUUAGUUAUUGUUUUAUUAAAAGUUGGAUAGAAGUGGUGGUACAGUUCCUUCAACUAGUUUUACUCCUUGGUUCUAUGGUCCUUUAAGAAUGUUGGCCUCUUCUAUGGCAGAUGUCCAUUCUUUUGUCUCCAUUACUUCAUUUUCAGCUCUUUUAAAUUGUUCUCUGCAUCAUCCACCAGUCACAGUCUGGGCAUUCACAUCUUUCUUCUUCUUCUGACGUAAUUAAAAAAAAUUCUUAGCCGCCUUUGUUCCAUUCUGAUCACAUGUCCUAACCACUCCAAAAUUCUUUAAGCUGUCAAGUAUGAUUUCUUUAAAAGAGGUCAUCACAUUAACUGUAUGAUCUUAAUAUUGGUUUGGUUUUCAUAAAACUCCAGUAGUUGCCCUUACUGAGCAACAUGUUUGUUAGCACAAACGUCUUCCAUGUUCUGAAUCCCAGAACCCAAGAUCUCUGUUACUGUCUCAUAACAAAGCAAGCAACUAAAAUAAGUUGAAAUUAGACAGUCUCCUGAAAAAGAGAAAUAUAUUUGAAAAAUACUGCCUUCUAGGAUGUGACACUAUGUAAUCUGGUAGAAGCUCACAGAUGUUUCAGAGGCUCAUAUUGCCUGCAUCUUCAGGACUGAAAAGCAAGCCACGCAAGUAGUAUGUUUCUUCGAAGCAACUGGUAAACUUCUGUCAGACUACAUGAUAUCACACCCCAGAAUAUAAUACACUUCAAAGUCAUCACUGCACCAACCUUAAAUCUAAAAUAGAUUUGACUUAUUAUGACUUAUCUGCAUAAGUGAUCACAAUUUCAUGCCUGUUUUUUGCUUCUUGUCAUCUUGAAGUAUAUAAUAAUUUUGUUUUCCAUUUGAUUGUAAUAUUAUAUAAUUAAGCUUGUUUGUGUUACAAAUAAAAUAUUGCCUCUUAUUUGUUACACAAAUACUAGGCAUGAUGGCUUAUGAAAACAGUUCAUUGUUCUUAUAUUCCAAGAUGGUUUAUGUGUGCACACCAAGAAAAACCAGUGAAUUUAUAUGUGUAAUAUCUGCUGUUUGUUGUCUUGUUCAGCAUAGAGAAGUGGGAUAUGUGUUUAUUGCAAUCUGUAUACCGUGAGUAGUGAAUUAUAUUUGUCUUGUUGGAUAGAGGAGUCAGUAAAUCCUAGCCCUUCUAGUAGCAAUUAUGGUUAUUAGUGUUGCCUGGACGACCAAUGAACACAGCUCUCUUGCUCAUAUGGAGAGAGUAGAAUUUAUUGUAAUCUUCUGAUGGAUAUAUAUUUAAAAUUGAAUACAGAAGAAUAGAUGUGUAUGUGACUGUUAGUAAGAAUUUCAGUUAUAAUUUGAAGAUGUUGAAUUCAGUGGAAUGAAGAAAGAAAAUGUUGCAGUAUUUAUCUUAUGUUUUUAUAUAGCAAUGAUAUUUUGCUAUUUAAGAGGAUCAAUCUUGUUUAUGAUUGAAUGUUUUAGGAAAAUAUUCGGUGUCCUAUUUUGAAUUCUCGCUUUUUGCAUACAUAUUUCUUUCUGUAUUUCAUUCCCUGAGUCCCAGUAUAAAACAGAGCAUAUGUUUAUACCAAUAUUUACAAAUUACACUCUAAUAUCUGUAUAAGAUUGGAAUUACUAUCACAGCAAAAGUGUUUUAUAAAUAUUAAAUAUAAGUAUGUAUAUCUUGUAUAUUUGAAAUUUUGUUUGUAGUAAAAAUAUGUAUCUAGGAAGGUAGUUACAGAAAAUUGAAUACAGAAAUUGUGAGAAUUGUGUUUGCUGCUGACUAUACAUACUAUGGCCAUACUGAAAAACACAAUCUAGCCUCAGAUAUUUCCAUGUCCAAUAGUUUUUUCCAAUAUAUACGAGUACGUUUUUAAUAAUUGAACAGCUGAGUGGAUGGUGUUAGAUAAAAUAUGUAGAAUGUAUUACAGUUCAAUAAACAGAUUUUUAUUAACCAACAAGAAGCAGCAUGGCUCCAGCAUAAGGUAAGUAUAUUUUUGGCAUGCCUCUUCUUCUGUAAUAUAUAAUUCUCACAAUUUUGAGUAAUUAUAACAGCUUCAUUGGUUUACACACACUAAAAGAUCACUAACUUGUAGCACACACAAAAUCUUCUGUCUUCAGAUGUUGGUUCCAGGUACCUGAUUUUAAGAAUGUCCUCUGAUAACAUCCUUACUGGCUGGUGAAUGUCCUACAGUUGACUCAUUGCUUCAGCUGUCUAACCCGCAGGGUGGCGGCCAACUCACAGCAAACCCGUAGUUUUCUUCUCUCCACUGACUAACUGCAGCGCCCAGCUUGUCCAGCUUAAAACACCUCAGCAUGGACCGUGUAGAAAACGCCGCUCAUCUUUGUUGCAGGUCAGUCAUUUCCAUGGGAAGAUGUUUGUGAAGGCAUUACUCAGUAAUGCCUCUUGUAUAUUUGCUUAUCUCACAGUUGUUGCCCAGCAGGGGCUACAGCGUGCUACAAUAUUAUGUAUGGAUGGAAAAAACCAUGCAUAUUGUAUGUAAUUUAUAUGCAGUUAUGAUUAUUUGUAAUAUCAUUGUCAGUGACACUUUUAUCUUAAGAGUAAAAGCUAUCAGUACUUGUAUAACUUGAUUUGGGGUCACUAAUAUAGCCGGUACUCUCAUUUUAUAAGGGAAGAUAUUCUGUGGUAUUCUGUAUGCCAUUUUACCCCACAGUUGACAGUUUUGAUGAGACUUUGUGUAUGUAUCAUGUCACUGUGCCUUCACAAUUUUGUCAUUUCCUCCCUUUGCCCAUAAUGGCCAUGAGAACUUCCAGAAUGAGUGCAAUAUAAGCACUGCUUAUUGUGUGGUCCUGAAAUUUUGUAUGCAAUUAGAUCUUCAUAAAAUAUAUGUUUGUCAUAGCAAUUUUCUGUAUGGGGAAAGUGAAAUGUCUAUGCAAAAUCAGUAUAUAGCUGCCAGUUUGUCAACUAUUGCAAUUCGUAAUUUUAUAUGGAGUUAGGUUAUGUGACAGCAAAGUAACUAGGUAAAUAUUGCGUGUCAGCCAUUGGCCAGGAUUUCACUUUAGGGCAAUAUUUGAAACAAGUGAAUUACAGUACAAUAUUGAUGCGCAAAUGUUGAUGUAAUUAUUUAGAGUUUGUUUCAUAAUCAAGUAUGAAAAAAAAAUCCUCCAACUAAGAUUUCCAAGGGAAUAAUACAAGAUAUAAGUAUGCAAAUGUUGGCAGUUCUCAAAAAUGGAGAUGUCAGUGCAGUCUUGUGGCUAGGUCCUAUAUUCUAGUGAUAAAUUCAGAACUAGAAUAAGCACUGCAUUAAAUUUGGGAGUUUGAUAAUGUCUUGGCUCUGUAUUGAUGUAGUGAUCCAGUUCUGUGGAGUUACAUCACAUCCAUUGUCCUGCUUGGUGGGUAGAGGCAAAAAAGGAAGUUGGUUCCAGAGCAUGUGUUCGGUUCAUACGAGUAGAUUGCACCUGGAAGCAGCUGGGUUUCGCAACAACUUCCAUUCCAGGUGCAAAACGAGAAAGCAGAUGCUCAUAACAUAUAACGUAAUUAAGAAUAUACUUUCGAAAUAAGAACUCGUGAAAUAUACUUUGAGCGUUUGUUAUACCAUC